GCCAGGUAUUGUGGUGCAUGCCUGUAAUCCCAGCAGCUGGAGAGGCAGAGGCAGGAGGAUCUCAAGUUCAAAGCUAGCCUCAGCAACAUAGGGAGUCCCUAGGUAACUCAGUGACACCCUGUCUCUA
rnacentral:sRNA from 1 species